CAGUAUCCACGGUAAUACAGAGGGUGCGAGCGUUAAUCGGAUUUACUGGGCGUAAAGCGUGCGUAGGCGGCUUCUUAAGUCGGAUGUGAAAUCCCUGAGCUUAACUUAGGAAUUGCAUUCGAUACUGGGAAGCUAGAGUAUGGGACAGGAUGGUAGAAUUCCAGGUGUAGCGGUGAAAUGCGUAGAGAUCUGGAGGAAUACCGAUGGCGAAGGCAGCCAUCUGGCCUAAUACUGACGCUGAGGUACGAAAGCAUGGGGAGCAAACAGGAUUAGAUACCCCAGUAGUCCCUGUCUCUUAUCA
rnacentral:rRNA from 1 species